AUGCCUUUUGGUUUAUGUAAUGCACCUGCUACCUUUCAAACAUGCAUGAUGGCUAUAUUCUCUGACUUUUGUGAAAAGAUUUGUGAGGUUUUCAUGGACGAUUUCUCCGUCUAUGGAUCUUCUUUUGAUGAUUGCUUGAGCAACCUUGAUCAAAUUUUGCAGAGAUGUGAAGAAACUAAUCUUGUCUUGAAUUGGGAAAAGUGCCACUUUAUGGUUAAUGAAGGUAUUGUCUUGGGGCAUAAAAUUUCUGAAAGAGGUAUUGAAGUUGAUAAAGCCAAGGUUGAUGCUAUUGAAAAGAUGCCAUGCCCCAAGGACAUCAAAGGUAUAAGAAGUUUCCUUGGUCACACCGGAUUUUAUAGGAGGUUCAUUAAGGACUUCUCAAAAAUUUCUCGGCCUCUAAAUAAUUUAUUACAAAAAGAUAUACCAUUUGUAUUUGAUGAUGAUUGUGUAGAAGCAUUUGAAAUACUUAAGAAAGCAUUGAUCUCUGCACCUAUUGUUCAGCCACCUGAUUGGAAUUUACCCUUUGAAAUUAUGUGUGAUGCUAGUGAUUAUGCUGUAGGUGAUGUUCGAGGGCAAAGAGUUGAUAAGAAAUUAAACGUUAUUCAAUAUGCUAGUAAAACCUUAGACAAUGCUCUAAGAAAUUAUGCUACUACUGAAAAAGAAUUCUUAGCAGUUGUAUUUGCUUGUGAUAAGUUCAGACCUUAUAUUGUUGAUUCUAAAGUAACUAUUCACAUUGAUCAUGUUGCUAUUAAAUAUCUUAUGGAAAAGAAAGAUGCUAAACCUAGACUUAUUAGAUGGGUUCUCUUGCUACAAGAAUUUGACUUAUAUAUUGUUGAUAGAAAGGGAGCUGAGAACCCCGUUGCAGACAACUUGUCUAGGUUAGAAAAUGUGCUUGAUGACCCACUUCCUAUUGAUGAUAGCUUUCCUGGUGAGCAAUUAAAUGUCAUAAAUGCUUCUCAUACUGCUCCAUGGUAUGCUGAUUAUGCUAAUUACAUUGUUGCUAAGUUUAUACCACCUAGUUUCACAUACCAGCAAAAGAAAAAGUUCUUCUAUGAUUUGAGGCAUUACUUUUGGGAUGACCCACAUCUUUAUAAAGAAGGAGUAGAUGGUGUUAUUAGACGUUGUGUACCUGAGCAUGAACAGGAACAUAUCCUACGCAAGUGUCACUCUGAAGCUUAUGGAGGACACCUGCUGGAGAUAGAACUGCACAUAAGGUAUUGCAAUCUAGUUUUUAUUGGCCUACUCUCUUCAAGGAUGCCUGUAAGUUUGUCUUAUCUUGUGAUGAAUGUCAAAGAAUUGGUAAUAUUAGUAGACGUCAAGAAAUGCCUAUGA
rnacentral:rRNA from 1 species